GGCAUUGUGGCUUAGUUGGUUAAAGAGUCUGUCUCCUAAACAGGAGAUCCUGGGUUCAUAUCCCAGCAGUGACU